CUGAUGCCCGCGUCGCGAUAGU
rnacentral:siRNA from 1 species